rnacentral:rRNA from 1 species
AUUGAACGCUGGCGGCAGGCCUAACACAUGCAAGUCGAACGAGUGGCGGACGGGUGAGUAAUGUCUGGGAAACUGCCUGAUGGAGGGGGAUAACUACUGGCAACGGUAGCUAAUACCGCAUACUAUUGGAGCGGCCGAUAUCGGAUUAGCUAGUUGGUGGGGUAAAGGCUCACCAAGGCAACGAUCCGUAGCUGGUUUGAGAGGACGACCAGCCACACUGGGACUGAGACACGGCCCAGACUCCUACGGGAGGCAGCAGUGGGGAAUUUUGGACAAUGGGGGAAACCCUGAUCCAGCCAUCCCGCGUGUAUGAAGAAGGCCUUCGGGUUGUAAAGCACUUUCAGCGAGGAGGCGUUACUCGCAGAAGAAGCACCGGCUAACUCCGUGCCAGCAGCCGCGGUAAUUC